CCAGACUCCUACGGGAGGCAGCAGUGGGGAAUAUUGCACAAUGGGGGGAACCCUGAUGCAGCGACGCCGCGUGGGUGAAGGAGUAUUUCGGUAUGUAAAGCCCUAUCAGCAGGGAAGAACAAUGACGGUACCUGACUAAGAAGCACCGGCUAAAUACGUGCCAGCAGCCGCGGUAAUACGUAUGGUGCAAGCGUUAUCCGGAUUUACUGGGUGUAAAGGGAGCGCAGGCGGCGCGUUAAGCCUGGUGUGAAAGCCCGCGGCCCAACCGCGGGACUGCAUUGGGAACUGGCGUGCUGGAGUGCCGGAGGGGCAGGCGGAAUUCCUGGUGUAGCGGUGAAAUGCGUAGAUAUCAGGAGGAACACCGGUGGCGAAGGCGGCCUGCUGGACGGAUACUGACGCUGAGGCCCGAAAGCGUGGGGAGCGAACAGGAUUAGAUACCCCAGUAGUU
rnacentral:rRNA from 1 species